rnacentral:rRNA from 1 species
UACAGAGGGGGCAAGCGUUGUCCGGAAUUACUGGGCGUACAGGGUGCGCAGGCGGCUUGGUAUGUGCCGAGUGACAAAUCCGCGCUUAACGCGGAAGGGUCUCGGUAGACAGCCAGGCUCGAGUCCUUGAGAGGGUAGUGGAAUUCCCGGUGUAGUGGUGAAAUGCGUAGAUAUCGGGAGGAACACCAGUGGCGAAGGCGACUACCUGGCCUGUUUCUUGACGCUGAGGCGCGAAAGCUAGGGGAGCAAACGGG